UUCUCCGAACUUAGUGAAGUGAAUAAAUAAAUUCUACAAAGUAAUGAAGCCGAGGUGGGAUUUAGAAAAUCCUAUAAGCCAAGACUAAGGAUAUAGGUGCUAUACCAUAGGGUACAUGCAUUCCCUCUGAGAGAAAUAGUUCAAGUACUAAUUAGCGUGCUACGCUAUUUAUUUUCAAAGGAUAAACUGCUCAAGGGCAAGUGAGGCCAACGCAAAUAAUUGAAUUAAGGAAUAAGCAUACCAGGUUGAACGUCAAGAGGAUAGAGUGAUGAUCGGAGUCGAUGUUAUCAAGUUGAUCUCCCAACGAUUCGUGUCUUCAUACACGAAGUCGUUUAGCAAGGACUUAUUCCGCUGUGCUCUUAGAAUUAUAGAACCUCACCAUCAACUCUGAUUUAUUUGAGGAGAUGUCUAUUCUGUUUUCAAGACCGUGUAAUGAAAUACUUGGCUUCUAUGUAAUCAAUUGACUUGGCCUUGUGAAA